GAAGGGACUAGAUACUGUUCCGAAAUAUCACUUACUCGAACCGUCCUGACCACGUAGCUCAGUUGGAAGAGCAUUGGGCUAGUAUUCCAAAGGUCGUAGGUUCGAAUCCCACCGUGGCCGGGCAUAAGUUUCAAGCUCGCCUGGUGUGGAUAUGCACUCAGAGUAACAUCGCAAACAUAUUAUUCACCUGAGUACACAACACCAACACAGAAAAAAAAUUCAUAUUACAAGAACACAUUGGUAUUGAAGGAACUAGAUACGGUUCCGAAAUAUCACUUACUCGAACCGUCCUGACCACGUAGCUCAGUUGGAAGAGCAUUGGGCUAGUAUUCCAAACGUCGUAGGUUCGAAUCCCACCGUGGCCGGGCAUAAGUUUCAAGCUCUCCCGGUGUGGAUAUGCACUCAGAGUAACAUCGCAAACAUAUUAUUCACCUGAGUACACAACACCAACACAGAAAAAAAAAAUUCAUAUUACAAGAACACAUUGGUAUUGAAGGAACUAGAUACGGUUCCGAAAUAUCACUUACUCGAACCGUCCUGACCGCGUAGCUCAGUUGGAAGAGCAUUGGGCUAGUAUUCCAAAGGUCGUAGGUUCGAAUCCCACCGUGGCCGGGCAUAUUUUUCAAGCUCGCCCGGUGUGGAUAUGCACUCAGAGUAACAUCGCAAACA
rnacentral:tRNA from 1 species